rnacentral:rRNA from 1 species
AGUGAACGCUGGCGGUAGGCCUAACACAUGCAAGUCGAACGGCAGCACCGUAAGAGCUUGCUCUUACGGGUGGCGAGUGGCGGACGGGUGAGGAAUACAUCGGAAUCUACUUUUUCGUGGGGGUUAACGUAGGGAAAGUUACGCUCAUACCGCAUCCGACCUACGGGUGAAAGCAGGGGAUCUUCGGACCUUGCGCGAAUGAAUGAGCCGAUGUCGGAUUAGCUAGUUGGCGGGGUAAAGGCCCACCCAGGCGACGAUCCGUAGCUGGUCUGAGAGGAUGACCAGCCACACUGGAACUGGGACACGGUCCAGACGCCUACGGGAGGGAGCAGUGGGGAAUAUUGGACAAUGGGCGCAAGCCUGAUCCAGCCAGACCGCGUGGGUGAAGAAGGCCUUCGGGUUGUAAAGCCCUUUUGUUGGGAAAGAAAAGCAGCAGGUUAAUACCCCGCUGUCCUGACGGUACCCAAAGAAUAAGCACCGGCUAACUUCGUG